GCCCUUGUAGAUCAGUGGAAUAGAUCAUUGGACUUCUAAUCCAAGGGUCCGCGGUUCGAACCCGCGCUGGGGCG